UCGGUGAGGAGUCUGUUUCCAUCUCAGACUACCCCCUUGUUGCAGGUUCCACACAGGCAGCCAAUGAGCCCGUUGAUCAUCUGGAUGGCGCACAAGAUCAGCUCCAGACAGCUGACAGCCAGCAGAGUCGCGAACAGGCCAAUGUGGAAAUCCACAAUGUUCUUUGGCUCGGUGCACACUCCCCACCAGGUCUUGUCAGACAGGUAGUUUCGCUCACUGCAACAGAGCAGGUUUGUGAAUAAAAUGGGCUUUAAGUAGAGAGACUAGAUAACUAGGUGUACAGUCUUUUAUCAUCAUCAUACUACCCACCCGUUUUUAAAUGGUGUGUUCCACAACAGAAAAACUUUACAGAGAGGUCCAUUCUGCAAACCGAGCACUGCUACUAAGAAGCUGUACAGAGCCCCGGCCACUCCCACAGCGGCGAGUACGAUAGAUAGAAACAUCUGCAGGAGUGAAAUGAUACCCAAAGGCUCCACACAUGCAGCCGAGGAGACCGUUGAUGAUCUGAGCGGCACAGAGUAACACCUGCAGGCAGCUGGUGACCAUCAGAGUGGCGAACAGUCCAAUGUUGAACUGCACCACGUUUGGAGGCUCUUUGCAUUCUCCCCACGACUUUGAGUCAGUCAGAUAGCCCCAAUUACUGUGCGAGAGAUGAGAAUUAUGACCAAGCAGAGCGUCAGAGUGUCAACAAAUCAAAUCAUCAAAAAAGCCACAUGUUCUUGUCACCUGGUUUUAAAAGGGGUUAUCCAUGCUCCAUCAUGUAUGCAGAGAGGCCCGCUACCCAAACCGAAUAAUGCCACAAUGAAACUGUACAGAGCGCCGAUUGCUCCUCCCGCAGCGAAGAUGAUGGAUAUGAACAUCUGCAGGAAAAAACGAUAAGCCGAGAAAAGACAUUUGAAUGUUUUAGCUUGAAGUCAUAAUUUUUGUUGUUUAAACACAAUCUUAAACACAGCACUUCACAUUUCAAAUACUUCUGUUCUUUUAUUUAGUUAUCUUGUUAUAAAAAGGAAACACCUUGAGCUGUGGCUCUCAUGGUUUUGCAUCUUAUCUAUCUGUGAAUCCACAAGUGUUGUGCAAGGAUGAUGCAGCACUUGGUAGAAUUUGUCUUCCCUAAUCAUUGAGUGUUUCUUUGACUGACUGGUCUCCAUUAAACACUUUGUGAUGAAUU